UCCCUCAGACUGAAUUGGUUGUCUUGAAUAGUGAUUAGUUUCUGAUAUUUAGCAAUUUGAUUACUUUUUUGGUUAUCUUCCAUUUUCUGCCCCUCCACUCACAGGAAGAAUGCAAGACCCCCAGAGGACUGUUCUGUCAGGCAGACACCAUUUCUAAUCGAGGCCCUGUGCCUUACUAGAUGUGUGGCAUGGGAGUGUCACACCAUGGCUUCCGAUGUUCUUGUGCUCGUCUUAAAGGAGAAAAUACCACCUAACUUCCGGGCGUUGCAGUGAGUGUUCGCACCUACACCAUAUUUAGCCCGGAGACUGACACAUCGUGGGUUCACGGUGGCCUGCUCAGAUCCUACUUUGGCAAGAGCCAGGAGCCUUGGAAUCCAUGCCACCUUUAC